rnacentral:rRNA from 1 species
AAUUUACAUGAAGCCUAGCGAUUGUAAAUUUAGUGGCGGACGGGUGAGUAACGCGUGGGUAACCUGCCUUGUACUGGGGGACAACAGUUGGAAACGACUGCUAAUACCGCAUAAGCGCACAGCUUCGCAUGAAGCAGUGUGAAAAACUCCGGUGGUACAAGAUGGACCCGCGUCUGAUUAGCUGGUUGGUGAGGUAACGGCCCACCAAGGCGACGAUCAGUAGCCGGCCUGAGAGGGUGAACGGCCACAUUGGGACUGGGACACGGCCCAAACUCCUACGGGAGGCAGCAGUGGGGAAUAUUGCACAAUGGGGGAAACCCUGAUGCAGCAACGCCGCGUGAGUGAAGAAGUAUUUCGGUAUGUAAAGCUCUAUCAGCAGGAAAGAAAAUGACGGUACCUGACUAAGAAGCCCCGGCUAACUACGUGCCAGCAGCCGCGGUAAUACGUAGGGGGCAAGCGUUAUCCGGAUUUACUGGGUGUAAAGGGAGCGUAGACGGUUUUGCAAGUCUGAAGUGAAAGCCCGGGGCUUAACCCCGGGACUGCUUUGGAAACUGUAGGACUAGAGUGCAGGAGAGGUAAGUGGAAUUCCUAGUGUAGCGGUGAAAUGCGUAGAUAUUAGGAGGAACACCAGUGGCGAAGGCGGCUUACUGGACUG